CCUCCAUUUCCUGAAAGGUUAAACAAGCAGGAUCAAUAAAAAGCUGCCAUCAACGAGGCAGAAGUUUGUUGAAAAUGGUAAAGUAGCCAUAUUUUUGCAUGCAUUUACUGAUGAACAGUGAGUCGCUAUGUUUGAGAUAUGUGGACAAGUCUGCAUGGUGGAAAAUAGACUUGAGCCGAAACGUUGUUGCUGUAGAUUCUGUAUUCUGCCUCUGGUGUAUGCCUGUAUAGUGUCCUUGUUAGAUAACAUUAGCAAGGUUAUGUACUAAAGUGUGG